rnacentral:rRNA from 1 species
GGGCUCACACAAGCGGUGGAGGAUGUGGCUUAAUUCGAGGCUACGCGAAGAACCUUAUCCUAGAUUUGACAUGCUUGAGAAUUCCUUCGAAAGAAGGAAGUGCCCCUCGGGGAGCUUUUGCACAGGUGCUGCAUGGCUGUCGUCAGCUCGUGUCGUGAGAUGUCGGGUUAAGUCCCUUAACGAGCGAAACCCUCUUGAUAUGUGUAUAUUUUAAAGUAUACCUUAUCAUACUGCCAGUGACAUACGGGAGGAAGGUGAGGAUGACGUCAAGUCCGCAUGGCCCUUAUGGGUUGGCUACACACGUGCUACAAUGGCGGAAGCAAAAGGUGGCAAUAUGGUGACAUGGAGCAAAUCCUUAAAAACCGUCGUAGUUCAGAUUGUUCUCUGCAACUCGAGAACAUGAAGAUGGAAUC